rnacentral:rRNA from 1 species
CCUACGGGAGGCAGCAGUGAGGAAUAUUGGUCAAUGGACGAGAGUCUGAACCAGCCAAGUAGCGUGAAGGAUGACUGCCCUAUGGGUGGUAAACUUCUUUUAUAAAGGAAUAAAACGAGGCACGUGUGCCUUUUUGCAUGUACUUUAUGAAUAAAGAUCGGCUAACUCCGUGCCAGCAGCCGCGGUAAUACGGAGGAUGCGAGCGUUAUCCGGAGUUAUUGGGGUUAGAGUGGGCGUAGAUGGGUUGUUAAGUCAGUUGUGAAAGUUUGCGGAUCAACCGUAAAAUUGCAAUUGAUACUGGCAGUCUUGAGUACAGUUGAGGUAGGCGGAAUUCGUGGUGUAGCGGUGAAAUGCUUAGAUAUCACGAAGAACCCCGAUUGCGAAGGCAGCUUACUAAACUGUGACUGACAUUGAUGCUCGAAAGUGUGGGUAUCAAACAGGAUUAGAUACCCGGGUAGUC